rnacentral:rRNA from 1 species
GACGAACGCUGGCGGCGUGCUUAACACAUGCAAGUCGAACGGAAAGGCCCCUUUGGGGGUACUCGAGUGGCGAACGGGUGAGUAACACGUGAGUAACCUGCCCUUGACUUCGGGAUAACUUCAGGAAACUGGGGCUAAUACCGGAUAGGAAUCCUUGCUGCAUGGUGGGGGUUGGAAAGCUUCGGCGGUUUUGGAUGGACUCGCGGCUUAUCAGCUUGUUGGUGGGGUAGUGGCUUACCAAGGCUUUGACGGGUAGCCGGCCUGAGAGGGCGACCGGCCACAUUGGGACUGAGAUACGGCCCAGACUCCUACGGAAGGCAGCAGUGGGGAAUAUUGCACAAUGGGCGGAAGCCUGAUGCAGCAACGCCGCGUGCGGGAUGACGGCCUUCGGGUUGUAAACCGCUUUCAGCAGGGGCGAAGCUUGUGGUGACGGUACCUGCAGAAGAAGCACCGGCUAACUACGUG